AGUUCCGAGGUGUUAGCAUAUCUGAUUGCAAAUCAGAAGGAGCAGAGUAACGCUCUGCCGGGACUU
rnacentral:tRNA from 1 species